rnacentral:rRNA from 1 species
UGAGGAAUAUUGCACAAUGGGGGAAACCCUGAUGCAGCGACGCCGCGUGGGUGAUGACGGCCUUCGGGUUGUAAAGCCCUUUUGCCACUGACGAGAACGGACGGUAGGUGGCGAAUAAGCCUCGGCUAACUACGUGCCAGCAGCCGCGGUAAAACGUAGGAGGCGAGCGUUAUCCGGAGUUACUGGGCGUAAAGCGUGCGCAGGCGGUGCCAUAAGUCAGGUGUGAAAGAUUCCGGCUCAACCGGGAAAACGCGCUUGAGACUGUGGGACUAGAGUGGGAUAGAGGGACGUGGAAUUCCGGGUGGAGCGGUGAAAUGUGUAGAGAUCCGGAGGAACACCAGAGGCGCAAGCGGCGUCCUGGGUCCCAACUGACGCUGAGGCACGAAAGCUUGGGGAGCGAACGGG